rnacentral:rRNA from 1 species
GUACACGCUGUGACUAGCAUAUCAAUAAGCGGAGGAAAAGAAACUAACAAGGAUUCCCCUAGUAACGGCGAGUGAAGCGGGAAGAGCUCAAAUUUGAAAUCUUAAAGGGUUUCCCUUUACGAAUUGUAGUUUAAAGAAGUGUUUUCUGUUGAGGUUUUGGUAAAAGUUCUUUGGAAUAGGACAUCAUAGAGGGUGAGGAUCCCGUAUUUGACCUUUACUUUCAACUUUGUGAUACACUUUCAAAGAGUCGGAUUGUUUGGGAAUGCAGUCCAAAAUGGGUGGUAAAUUUCAUCUAAAGCUAAAUAUUGGCGAGAGACCGAUAGCGAACAAGUACCGUGAGGGAAAGAUGAAAAGAACUUUGAAAAGAGAGUUAAACAGUACGUGAAAUUGUCAAAAGGGAAGCGUUUGACACCAGUGUUGUUUUUCUGAAAAUCAAUUAAAGAACUGUUUAUGCUAAGCUGUUUAGACUUUAUCAGCUAUCUGUUUAGUUUUGAGCUUUUCUUUAAUGCACUUUUCAGUUAACAAGUCAACAUCAAUUUCUUUUGCUGUAAAAAAGCUUGAGGAAGGUGGCUUGAGAUUCGUCUUAAGUGUUUAUAGCCUCUUGCCUAUGCAGUCGGAGAGAUUGAGGUCUGCAGCGUAGAUCCUUCGGGGCUAAAUGCAUUUGUGCUAAGUUAUAGCAUUUUAUAGACAACUUGUUGACUAUGAUUUGUCUUGUAGCUUACUCGCUUAUGUUAUUUUACCUACGCUUAGGAUGUUGAAGAUGUAGCACAUCAU